rnacentral:lncRNA from 1 species
GAAAAGUCAGAAACAGUUUUAACGUGAAAACAAGUGGGAGAGGAAAAAGCCAGGCAAGGGAGAAGACCAAGAGAGAAGAGCUUAGGAAUUGACUUGCUGCACUUUAUCUUUGCAAUUCUAAGGUGAUCCUGAGUAGUAGGUGGUGGCUCACAGUGUCUAGGGCUCUGAUACGUGGGAUGGGAUUUUAUUGCUUGAAUUCUUUCCUAUGUAUCAAUUUUGAAAUAUUACUGAUGUAGCCCUUUGGUGAUCGACUUUUAUGUUAAAAUGGCUUUUAUGCCAAGAAUAAUUAUUGUAGACUGAAUGAUGUUGCAAACAAUCCGCUGCGAGUUUAAUGACAAUUUUAUGAACGACGUUUGAUUAAAUAGAUUUUUUUUAUAUACUCUCUAUUUAGUAAAUUUUAAAUGAAGAAAUGUAGCAUGCCUGUUAUGAUUACUCUGAUUAUUGAUGUAUUAUUAUUAAUUAAAUUGAUUUUGGGAAACGGGGUGUUACAGUUGGCCUAG